rnacentral:rRNA from 1 species
AUAACGGUCCUAAGGUAGCGAAAUUCCUUGUCAGGUAAGUUCUGACCCGCACGAAUGGCGUAACGAUAUGGGCGCUGUCUCGGCGAGAGGCUCGGCGAAAUUGGAUUAUCCGUGAAGAUACGGAUUACGCGUACCAGGACAGAAAGACCCUAUUGAGCUUUACUGUAGCUUGAAAUUGAAUUCGGGUCCUGCUUGUGCAGGAUAGGUGGGAGACUUUGAAGCAGAAACGUCAGUUUUGGUGGAGUCGCCGUUGAGAUACCACUCUGGUAUGAUUUGAAUUCUAACGUUCAUCCCUCUAACAUCAGGGGAACGGACAGUUUCUGGUAGGCAGUUUGACUGGGGCGGUCGCCUCCUAAAGAGUAACGGAGGCGCUCAAAGGUUCCCUCAGGUUGGUCGGAAAUCAACCUUCGAGUGUAAAGGCACAAGGGAGCUUGACUGCGAGACCUACAAGUCGAGCAGGUGCGAAAGCAGGACUUAGUGAUCCGGUGGUCCCGAAUGGAAGGGCCAUCGCUCAUCGGAUAAAAGUUACCAUAGGGAUAACAGGCUUAUCUCCCCCAAGAGUCCACAUCGACGGGGAGGUUUGGCACCUCGAUGUCGGCUCAUCACAUCCUGGGGCUGUAGUAGGUCCCAAGGGUUGGGCUGUUCGCCCAUUAAAGUGGUACGCGAGCUGGGUUCAGAACGUCGUGAGACAGUUCGGUCCCUAUCCGUCGCAGGCGUAGGAAAUUUGAGAAGACCUGUCCUUAGUACGAGAGGACCGGGAUGGACGUACCUCUGGUGUACCAGUUGUUCUGCCAAGGGCAUGGCUGGGUAGCUAUGUACGGAAUGGAUAAGCGCUGAAAGCAUCUAAGCGCGAAGCCAACUUCAAGAUAAGAUUUCCCACCGCAAGGUUAAGAUCCCAGGAAGACUACCUGGUUGAUAGGUCAGAGGUGUAAGUGCAGUAAUGUAUUUAGCUUACUGAUACUAAUAGAUCGAGGACUUGACCAA